UUUGUGGCAAACCCUAGCACCGCCUGAGAUAGAAUUCCUCUCUCCUAGUCACAAAGUUGCCGGAAAUGGCAAGGUGUCAGGCAACCCCACCUUGCCUCAGUUUGUGCUCGCAUUUUUUGCGUAAGAGCAUUAAUUUCUCUUACCCUCUCUCUUCACACCAUCGUUGAACGAUCCCCAAACACGGUAUAUAACUCCCUUCCUUUUCCACUUUUUCUGCAUUCUUCAAACGGCUACCCUGAAUUACUUUAAUUGAUUUUUUUUCUUGUGAUUUGAAUAAUGGGUUUCUAUUGGUUCCUGAAGAAUCAAGUGGAUUGACCCGAUAUUGGGUCAAUCCUGACCUUUGAUAGGUUGCAUGAGUAAAUCAUGGCCUUUAAUUUGUGAACCAAAGGCCUAUUCUGAGAUGUAGUAAAAUGUCCCACACCGAUUUGGACCUAGCGUUUGGGGUUUUGGGACUUCUGUAUAAGGGACCACAAAUAAUUCACUUAAACACAGAGAUAUUCGCCUAAAAACUCAAUUUUUUCUUAAGUUUUGGCAAGAUUGCUUUGAAACUUUGAAUUUCGGGUUAAGUUAAAAUUUUAAAUAUUUUGUUCUUUGUUUGUGUGGCUGAGUUGUGAGGCUAAGGAGCAAAAAGGGUCUCCAAAGGUUCAAACUCGACAUAGGCUGCACUCAAAAAAGACUUUGAGCGUUCCGAGGCUUUAUGGAAGGAAAAAGCUGUAGCGGAGUGAUUCACGUUGUUCCAGCUCUAUGUUUGAGAUUAUGAUACAGAGAUUGCUACCCGCCCUCACAUCUAGCGUUGAGGACGUUGCUGACAGAUUUAGGGUGAGCUUCUAUCCAUGCCAGGCCGCCUGAAGAUCUUUCUCUUAUAUGUCUAUUUCCUAUUCUGGACAUUAUGGUUAAUUGUUAGACAGAUUUCAUUCCAUAAACAUGUUUUAGAUUAGAGUCAUUGUACGGUGACUUUCGGAUUUUGGGGAUUUGUAAUAGUUAGAACUUCCGCAUUUACUUCA